rnacentral:lncRNA from 1 species
AACACGAAGUGGGGAUCUGCACUUGGGGUGGUCAGCACUGCGGAUGCCCAGCAAAGUCACUGCCUGGUCCACAUCCCGGAGGGGUCUCUGCGCCUCAGUCGGCAUCGCAGCUGAUGGUGAAACUUUUGGUGUGGCAGAAGAGUGUCCACAAACUUCGGAAGGGCCGCGGCGGCAAGGUCCUUGCUCCCAUGGCGUGACUCCAGGGUGCAGGAGCCUGGGCUGAGCAGGUGGAGUAGGGUGAGCUCCGCCAAGAACCCAGCGAGAGUGGCGCCCCAGGGCGGCACAGGAGGCCGCAUUUAACAUGUCAAUCAUCUGAAAGAUUUUAUGGCAUCUUUUUUUUGACAUCUUAUAAUAUCUAUAAUGUUUAUUAUAUCUUGUGAUAUAAUUA